rnacentral:rRNA from 1 species
GAGUUUGAUCUUGGCUCAGGAUGAACGCUGGCGGCGUGCCUAAUACAUGCAAGUCGAGCGAACGGACGAGAAGCUUGCUUCUCUGAUGUUAGCGGCGGACGGGUGAGUAACACGUGGAUAACCUACCUAUAAGACUGGGAUAACUUCGGGAAACCGGAGCUAAUACCGGAUAAUAUUUUUGAACCGCAUGGUUCAAAAGUAAAAGACGGUCUUGCUGUCACUUAUAGAUGGAUCCGCGCUGCAUUAGCUAGUUGUAAGGUAACGGCUUACCAAGGCAACGAUGCAUAGCCGACCUGAGAGGGUGAUCGGCCACACUGGAACUGAGACACGGUCCAGACUCCUACGGGAGGCAGCGGUAGGGAAUCGUUCCGCAAUGGGCGAAAGCCUGACGGAGCAACGCCGCGUGAGUGAUGAAGGUCUUCGGAUCGUAAAACUCUGUUAUUAGGGAAGGACAUAUGUGU